rnacentral:lncRNA from 1 species
CAUUACAGCACUGUAUUGGACAAGAAGCUUCUAGCAACUUGGCUUGUACCAUGCCAUCAUGGGUGGAGCAGAGGGAAUUGAGACUGUACCUUGGCGAAGCUGCCUGAACUGCCUUGGUUGCUGCCCAGUUGUUUCUCAGAUCUGUGGCAGGCGGAAGAGGUGGAGCCCAGCCUGCCAGACCAGUUGCAAAGUGCAGAACAGGCUCCAUUCACAAGCGACCUGUGCCCAGCCUUGGCAGCACAAGGCUGACCUUUCCACACAGACUCCAGAGACUAACGGCUUGUCUGGAAAAUAAAAAGUAUGAAUAACUGACCAAAUUAGGACCCUCGGCCGGACUGUCUCAGCACCAGAGAAAGAGAACUCCAC